AACGUGAAUCUACAUGCGAUAUGCGCGCCGCUAGCUAGAGCUGAGUUAUCGCAGGAAACAAUUCUAGAGCUGGGCUUUGAAUGCAUUAUCAGAGACCUGAAAUGAGCUGCAUUGACUUUAUUUCGAAAUGUUUCUGUUACAGAUGAUGGAACUGAGAGAAGGAGAAAACAGCUUUAGUUACUUCAUCUCCAGAUGUCAUAUUGAAUAGCCUGCAGUUACUGUCCAUUUACAACUUCAUGGGUAAGCACAAAAAAGAAGCAAGAAGGGCAUAUUUGAAAAGAAGAAGAUCAGCAAUGAGAGAAACAAAAUUAGCUGGGAAUGAUUUGGAUGAUACCCAAAUGAGUCACAUGAAAAUUGAUAGCCCAGCUAAUGAAGAUAACAGCCAUUGCAUCCAAACCAAAAUGACUGAAAAACACACCCCUUUAUUCUGUACGCCGCCAAAGUCAAAGUCAUCAUCAGCACUGCUACCAUCAUCGUCAAAGUCAUCAUCAGCACUGCUACCAUCAUCAAAUAUGUCAAAUUCAUCAGCACUGCUACCAUCAUCAAAUACGUCGAAUUCAUCAGCACUGCUACCAUCGUCGUCAAAUACGUUGAAGUCAUCAGCGCUGCUACCAUCAUCGUCAAAUACAUCUAAGUCAUCAGCACUGCUAGCAUCGUCGUCAAAGUCAUCAGCACUGCUACCAUCAUUGUCAAAUACAUCUACAUGUAAGUCAUCAGCACUGCUAUCAUCAUCAUCAAUGUCAUCAUCUUCAACAGUUGCACUUUUAAGAAGAUGUAUUCCAAGGAAAGUGCUAAAUGACUGUCUUUUCACAAAGUGGAAUGAGUACAGACUGUUAUAUAAACAGUUUACUCUAAUCAAAAGACGCCUAAAUGUUAUAGAGCAUGGAGAGGGGGGUGGAAGUUUAAAUUGAUUGGUGUACUUGAUGUGAAAUAAACAACAUUGAUUGCUUAAGGCAAGUACAUGUAUAAGGGGCUAAAUUUAAUUGGUCUGGGAUGUUGAAUAUGUCUAUAAAUGUAGUAGCCUAUUUUACAGCAAUACUGCAAAACUAGAGCAAACUGAUGCAAUACCGGCUAUCUUGAGCACUGACCAUAGAUGAAUUAGGCUUUAGCCUAUUGCAUUUGUAGGCCUACAGUAUUCUAUUGGGCUGGUGAUUAUCUACUGUAGUUGGUCUUACAGUAGACCAGGUUAGAAUUUGAAAGAUGUUCUUGAUGCCUUGAUAUCAUGUGACAGCGAACAUCCUGUUAUCAUUUUUUUUCUUUGAAUUUGGGACACUGUAAUAGUGUAGUUACAUGUAUAUAAACGCUUAUCUUAAAAUGGGAUUUUGAAUGAGUGCGAAGAUGUAUGCAAGAAGAUAAAAGGUACAUGUAUUAUCAUCCCUUUCAAAAUACUUGAUGUUCAUCAGUUACAUGUAAUCUUCCAAUAUAGAAAGCGGUGUGUAAUUCCAUGAUUCUUAAUCCUUUAGUUUGGUCAGAAAAUAUGAUUUUUAAAAAACAAUUAUUAGACUUAUUAAUUGCUAAAAUGCUGUCCCCCAUAAUGUUCUGUUCUUUGCCUAUAAGCUCAGAUUUUGAAGUUAAAGAAGUGAAGUAUGCAAUUUCACUCGGGUCAAAAGGACAUUUUUUUUUUAAGAAUCCAAAUUUGAAAAAUUAAUGAUUCCUGAUUGAGUAUUAAAUUGAGAGAGUACAGGCAUGUAUACAUUCCAAUCGCGGUAACAUACUUACAGGAAAUUGACCUUGACUGAAGGAAUGUACUCAAAUACAGCCAAAAGGGGCAUGAUUAAAAAAUGACCCAGUUCUAUUUAGCAUGGUAUAAUACACUGUUUGGUUUCCUUUUUGUGUACUUGGGUAAAUUGAGAGCUGGUCCUCUGCAAAAAAACCCAUUAAACGUCUUGUUAUCAUAAAUAUUGUCUUCUAUCUUAAGAUUUGGGAUGCUGUUUGAGUGGAGCUAUGAACGCUGAUCUUAAAAUGGCAUCUUGAAUGAGUGCGAAGACUGGUGCAAGACAUAGUUAUCAAAGGUAUAAUCAUCCUUUUCAAAACGCUUGAUGAUUAUCAGAUAUAUGUAACCUUCCCUUAUGAAAAGCUGUGUGAAAUUUCAUGCUUCAUAAUCCUUAAUCCCGCACAAUACUCUGUUCCUUGCCCUAAGCUCAGAUUUUGAAAGUAGCGUAUACAAUUUCACUCUGGUCAAAGGGACAUUAGAAAUUAAAAAAAUCAAAAUCUGAGAAAUUAACAAUUCCUGAUAGUCUGAUAGAGUAUUAUAUUGAGAGAGUACAGGUGUUAAUUUCUAACAUACAUUCCUUUCGCGGUAACAGACUUACAGGAUAUUGACCUUGGCUGAAGGAAUAUACUCGAUACAGCCAAAAGGGGCAUGAUUAAGAAUAUGACCUAGUUCUAUUUAGCAUGGUAUAUACACACUGUUUGGUUUCAUUUUCGUGUACAAGAAUCCAAAUCUGACAAGAAUCCAAAUCUGAAGAUAAUUAUCAAUUCCUGAUAGAAUAUUUAAUUGAGAGAGUACAGCUGUUAAUUUCUAUCAUACAUUUCUUUCGCGGUGACAUACAGGAAAUUGACCUGGGCUGAAGGAAUGUACUCAAUACAUCCAAAAGGGACAUGAUUAAAAAAUGACCCAGUUCUAUUUAGCGUGGUAUAAUACACUGUUUGGUUUCCUUUUUGUGUACUUGGGUAAAUUGAGAUCUGGUCCUCUGCAAAAAAAGCCAUUAAACGUCUUGUUAUCACAAAUAUCGUCUUCUAUCUUAAGAUUUGGAAUGCUGUUUGAGUGGAGCUAUAAACGCUGAUCUUAAAAUGGCAUCUUGAAUGAGUGCGAAGACUGGUGCAAGACAUAGUUAUCAAAGGUAUAAUCAUCCUUUUCAAAACGCUUGAUGAUUAUCAGAUAUAUGUAACCUUCCCUUAUGAAAAGCUGUGUGAAAUUUCAUGCUUCAUAAUCCUUAAUCCCGCACAAUUCUCUGUUCCUUGCCCUAAGCUCAGAUUUUGAAAGUAGCGUAUACAAUUUCACUCUGGUUAAAGGGACAUUAGAAAUUAAAAAAAAUCAAAAUCUGAGAAAUUAACAAUUCCUGAUAGUCUGAUAGAGUAUUAUAUUGAGAGAGUACAGGUGUUAAUUUCUAACAUACAUUCCUUUCGCGGUAACAGACUUACAUGAUAUUGACCUUGGCUGAAGGAAUAUACUCGAUACAGCCAAAAGGGGCAUGAUUAAGAAUAUGACCUAGUUCUAUUUAGCAUGGUAUAUACACACUGUUUGGUUUCAUUUUCGUGUACAAGAAUCCAAAUCUGACAAGAAUCCAAAUCUGAAGAUAAUUAUCAAUUCCUGAUAGAAUAUUUAAUUGAGAGAGUACAGCUGUUAAUUUCUAUCAUACAUUUCUUUCGCGGUGACAUACAGGAAAUUGACCUGGGCUGAAGGAAUGUACUCAAUACAUCCAAAAGGGACAUGAUUAAAAAAUGACCCAGUUCUAUUUAGCGUGGUAUAAUACACUGUUUGGUUUCCUUUUUGUGUACUUGGGUAAAUUGAGAUCUGGUCCUCUGCAAAAAAUGCCAUUAAACGUCUUGUUAUCAUAAAUACGUCUUCUAUCUUAAGAUUUGGGAUGCUGUUUGAGUGGAGCUAUAAACGCUGAUCUUAAAAUGGCAUCUUGAAUGAGUGCGAAGACUGGUGCAAGACAUAGUUAUCAAAGGUAUAAUCAUCCUUUUCAAAACGCUUGAUGAUUAUCAGAUAUAUGUAACCUUCCCUUAUGAAAAGCUGUGUGAAAUUUCAUGCUUCAUAAUCCUUAAUCCCGCACAAUACUCUGUUCCUUGCCCUAAGCUCAGAUUUUGAAAGUAGCGUAUACAAUUUCACUCUGGUCAAAGGGACAUUAGAAAUUAAAAAAAUCAAAAUCUGAGAAAUUAACAAUUCCUGAUAGUCUGAUAAAGUAUUUUAUUGAGAGAGUACAGGUGUUAAUUUCUAACAUACAUUCCUUUCGCGGUAACAGACUUACAGGAUAUUGACCUUGGCUGAAGGAAUAUACUCGAUACAGCCAAAAGGGGCAUGAUUAAGAAUAUGACCUAGUUCUAUUUAGCAUGGUAUAUACACACUGUUUGGUUUCAUUUUCGUGUACAAGAAUCCAAAUCUGACAAGAAUCCAAAUCUGAAGAUAAUUAUCAAUUCCUGAUAGAAUAUUUAAUUGAGAGAGUACAGCUGUUAAUUUCUAUCAUACAUUUCUUUCGCGGUGACAUACAGGAAAUUGACCUGGGCUGAAGGAAUGUACUCAAUACAUCCAAAAGGGACAUGAUUAAAAAAUGACCCAGUUCUAUUUAGCGUGGUAUAAUACACUGUUUGGUUUCCUUUUUGUGUACUUGGGUAAAUUGAGAUCU